rnacentral:rRNA from 1 species
UUCCUACGGGACGCAGCAGUAGGGAAUUUUCGUCAAUGGGCGCAAGCCUGACCCAGCAACGCCGCGUGAAGGAAGAAGGCUUUCGGGUUGUAAACUUCUUUUCUCAGGGACGAAGCAAGUGACGGUACCUGAGGAAUAAGCCACGGCUAACUACGUGCCAGCAGCCGCGGUAAUACGUAGGUGGCAAGCGUUAUCCGGAUUUACUGGGUGUAAAGGGCGUGUAGGCGGGGGCGCAAAUCAGAUGUGAAAACCACGGGCUCCACCUGGGGCCUGCCU